rnacentral:rRNA from 1 species
GAUGAACGCUAGCGGCAGGCCUAAUACAUGCAAGUCGAGCGGAUGCCUUCGGGCAUUAGCGGCGCACGGGUGCGUAACGCGUAAGCAACCUACCCACUACUGGGGGAUAGCCCGCCGAAAGGUGGAUUAAACCCGCAUGACGCAGGGGCACGGCAUCGUGCUAUUUGCUAAAAAUUUAUUGGUAGUGGAUGGGCUUGCGUCUGAUUAGCUAGUUGGUGGGGUAACGGCUCACCAAGGCGAUGAUCAGUAGGGGCUCUGAGAGGAGCGGCCCCCACACUGGCACUGAGAUACGGGCCAGACUCCUACGGGAGGCAGCAGUAGGGAAUAUUGGGCAAUGGAGGCAACUCUGACCCAGCCAUGCCGCGUGUAGGAAGAAGGCGUUCUGCGUUGUAAACUACUUUUAUCGGGGAAGAAACGUCAUCUUGCGAGGUGAUUUGACGGUACUCAAGGAAUAAGCACCGGCUAACUCCGUGCCAGCCGCCGCCGUAACAC